GACGAACGCUGGCGGCGUGCUUAACACAUGCAAGUCGAGCGGAAAGGCCACUUCGGUGGUACUCGAGCGGCGAACGGGUGAGUAACACGUGAGUAAUCUGCCCCUGGCUUUGGGAUAGCCACCGGAAACGGUGAUUAAUACCGGAUAUGACCACUUCACGCAUGUGCUGUGGUGGAAAGUUUUUCGGCCAGGGAUGUGCUCGCGGCCUAUCAGCUUGAUGGUGAGGUAAUGGCUCACCAUGGCUUCGACGGGUAGCCGGCCUGAGAGGGUGACCGGUCACACUGGGACUGAGACACGGCCCAGACUCCUACGGGAGGCAGCAGUGGGGAAUAUUGGACAAUGGGCGGAAGCCUGAUCCAGCAACGCCGCGUGAGGGAUGACGGCCUUCGGGUUGUAAACCUCUUUCAGUACCGACGAAGCGUGAGUGACGGUAGGUACAGAAGAAGGACCGGCCAACUACGUGCCAGCCGCCGCCGUAAGAC
rnacentral:rRNA from 1 species